rnacentral:rRNA from 1 species
AUUGAACGCUGGCGGCAGGCCUAACACAUGCAAGUCGAGCGGCAGCGGGAAAGUAGCUUGCUACUUUUGCCGGCGAGCGGCGGACGGGUGAGUAAUGCCUGGGGAUCUGCCCAGUCGAGGGGGAUAACUACUGGAAACGGUAGCUAAUACCGCAUACGCGCUACGGGGGAAAGCAGGGGACCUUCGGGCCUUGCGCGAUUGGAGGAACCCAGGUGGGAUUAGCUAGUUGGUGAGGUAAUGGCUCACCAAGGCGACGAUCCCUAGCUGGUCUGAGAGGAUGAUCAGCCACACUGGAACUGAGACACGGUCCAGAUUCCUACGGGAGGCAGCAGUGGGGAAUAUUGCACAAUGGGGGAAACCCUGAUGCAGCCAUGCCGCGUGUGUGAAGAAGGCCUUCGGGUUGUAAAGCACUUUCAGCGAGGAGGAAAGGUUGGUAGCUAAUAACUGCCAGCUGUGACGUUACUCGCAGAAGAAGCACCGGCUAACUCCGUGCCAGCAGCCGCCGUAAUAC